rnacentral:rRNA from 1 species
GACGAACGCUGGCGGCGUGCUUAACACAUGCAAGUCGAACGGAAAGGCCCCGUUGGGGGUACUCGAGUGGCGCACGGGGGAGUAACACGGGAGGAACCUGCCCUUGGCGUGGGGAUAACUUCAGGAAACUGGGGCUAAUACCGGAUAGGAAUCCUUGCUGCAAGGUGGGGGUUGGAAAGCUUCCGCGGUUUUGGAUGGACUCGCGGCUUAUCAGCUUGUUGGUGGGGUAGUGGCUUACCAAGGCUUUGACGGGUAGCCGGCCUGAGAGGGCGACCGGCCACCUUCGGCCUGAGAUCCGGCACACACUCCUACGGGCGGCAGCAGUGGGGAAUAUUGAACAAUGGGCGGAAGCCUGAUGCAGCAACGCCGCGUGCGGGAUGACUUCCUUCGGGUUGUAAACCGCUUUCAGCAGGGGCGAAGCUUGUGGUGACGGUACCUGCAGAAGAAGCACCGGCUAACUACGUG